rnacentral:rRNA from 1 species
UACGGGGGGAGCAAGCGUUGUUCGGAUUUACUGGGCGUAAAGGGCGCGUAGGCGGCCACCGCAAGUCGACUGUGAAAUCUCCGGGCUUAACCCGGAAAGGUCAGCCGAUACUGCGGGGCUAGAGUGCAGAAGGGGCAACUGGAAUUCUCGGUGUAGCGGUGAAAUGCGUAGAUAUCAGGAGGAACACCGGCGGUGUAGACGGCUUUCUGGACCGUAGCUGACGCUGAGACACGAAAGCGUGGGUAGCAAACAGG